GGGGUUGUGGCUCAAAGGAAGAGCGGUCACCUAGCACGUGAGAGGCCCUGGGUUUGAUCCUCAGCACCACUU
rnacentral:tRNA from 1 species